ACACAUGCAAGUCGAGCGAAGCACUUAAGUUUGAUUCUUCGGAUGAAGACUUUUGUGACUGAGCGGCGGACGGGUGAGUAACGCGUGGGUAACCUGCCUCAUACAGGGGGAUAACAGUUAGAAAUGGCUGCUAAUACCGCAUAAGACCACGGUACUGCAUGGUACAGUGGUAAAAACUCCGGUGGUAUGAGAUGGACCCGCGUCUGAUUAGGUAGUUGGUGAGGUAACGGCCCACCAAGCCGACGAUCAGUAGCCGACCUGAGAGGGUGACCGGCCACAUUGGGACUGAGACACGGCCCAGACUCCUACGGGAGGCAGCAGUGGGGAAUAUUGCACAAUGGGCGAAAGCCUGAUGCAGCGACGCCGCGUGAAGGAUGAAGUAUUUCGGUAUGUAAACUUCUAUCAGCAGGGAAGAAAAUGACGGUACCUGACUAAGAAGCCCCGGCUAACUACGUGCCAGCAGCCGCGGUAAUACGUAGGGGGCAAGCGUUAUCCGGAUUUACUGGGUGUAAAGGGAGCGUAGACGGCUGUGCAAGUCUGAAGUGAAAGGCAUGGGCUCAACCUGUGGACUGCUUUGGAAACUGUGCAGCUAGAGUGUCGGAGAGGUAAGUGGAAUUCCUAGUGUAGCGGUGAAAUGCGUAGAUAUUA
rnacentral:rRNA from 1 species